AUAUUUACCUGGCAGGGGAAAUACCAUGAUCACAAAGGUGGUUUCCCCAAGGCGAGGCUUAUCAAUUGCACUCCAAUGUGCUGACCCCUGCCAUUUCCCCAAAUGUGAGAAACUGAUUGUAUAAUUUGUGGUAGUGUGGGACAGCAUUCACGUUCUCUCCGA